rnacentral:tRNA from 1 species
CCGGACGGAGCCGUUGAGGAACGCGGUGGCCACCUGUCGGGCGGUCGGUUCCCGCAGGGCCCUGGCACCGUACGAGGCGGGGCCUUCGGC